rnacentral:ncRNA from 1 species
CCGACGGCGGGAGGCUCUGACACGCUGUCCUUACCCCGGCCGCCGGGAUCGCGCCGAGCCACUGGCGAGACCGGCCCGCAGGCAU